rnacentral:rRNA from 1 species
GGAUUCCCCUAGUACUGCGAGUGAAGCGGGAAAAGCUCAAAUUUAAAAUCUGGUGGCCUCUGGUCAUCCGAGUUGUAAUUUAGAGAAGCGUCUUCCGCGCUGGACCAUGCACAAGUCUCCUGGAAUGGAGCGUCAUAGAGGGUGAGAAUCCCGUCUUUGGCAUGGAUGCACCAGGGCUUCUGUGAUGCGCUCUCAAAGAGUCGAGUUGUUUGGGAAUGCAGCUCAAAAUGGGUGGUGAACUCCAUCUAAAGCUAAAUAUUGGCGAGAGACCGAUAGCGAACAAGUACCGUGAGGGAAAGAUGAAAAGCACUUUGGAAAGAGAGUGAAACAGUACGUGAAAUUGUUGAAAGGGAAACGCUUGAAGUCAGUCGCGUCGACCGAGACUCAGCCUCGCCUUGGCUUGGUGUACUUCUCGGCUGACGGGUCAGUGUCAAUUUUGGGCCUCGGAUAAUGACAAGGGAAAGGUGGCACCUUUAUAGGUGUGUUAUAGUCUCCUGUCGGAUGCGAGGGUCGGGAUUGAGGAACUCAGCACGCGCCUUUUGGUGUCGGGGCUUCGGCCUACGCUACGUGCUUAGGAUGCUGGCAUAAUGGCUUUAAACGACCCGUCUUGAAACACGGACCAAGGAGUCUAACAUGCCCGCGAGUGUUCGGGUGGAAAACCCGUGCGCGUAAUGAAAGUAAAAGUUGGGACCUCUGUCGUGGAGAGCACCGACGCCCGGACCAGACCUUCUGUGACGGAUCUGCGGUAGAGCGUGCAUGUUGGGACCCGAAAGAUGGUGAACUAUGCCUGAAUAGGGUGAAGCCAGAGGAAACUCUGGUGGAGGCUCGUAGCGAUUCUGACGUGCAAAAU